AGAGUUUGAUCCUGGCUCAGAUUGAACGCUGGCGGCAUGCCUAACACAUGCAAGUCGAACGGUAACGGCAGAAACAAUCCUUCGGGUGCGUUUCUGGACGACGAGUGGCGGACGGGUGAGUAAUGCUUGGGAAUUUGCCUAGUAGUGGGGGACAACACGGGGAAACUCGUGCUAAUACCGCAUACGCCCUACGGGGGAAAGCGGGGGAUCUUCGGACCUCGCGCUAUUAGAUGAGCCCAAGUCGGAUUAGCUUGUUGGUGAGGUAAUGGCUCACCAAGGCCGCGAUCCGUAGCUGGUCUGAGAGGACGAUCAGCCACACUGGGACUGAGACACGGCCCAGACUCCUACGGGAGGCAGCAGUGGGGAAUAUUGCACAAUGGGCGCAAGCCUGAUGCAGCAAUGCCGCGUGUGUGAAGAAGGCCUGCGGGUUGUAAAGCACUUUCAGUAGGGAAGAAAAGCU
rnacentral:rRNA from 1 species